GCACUCGUAGCUCAGCUGGAUAGAGUACUGCCCUCCGAAGGCAGGGGUCACAGGUUCGAAUCCUGUCGAGUGCG
rnacentral:tRNA from 1 species